rnacentral:rRNA from 1 species
CCUACGGGGGGCUGCAGUAGGGAAUCUUCCACAAUGGGCGAAAGCCUGAUGGAGCAACGCCGCGUGGGUGAAGAAGGUCUUCGGAUCGUAAAACCCUGUUGUUAGCGAAGAAAGUGCGUGAGAGUAACUGUUCACGUUUCGACGGUAUCUAACCAGAAAGCAACGGCUAACUACGUGCCAGCAGCCGCGGUAAUACGUAGGUGGCAAGCGUUAUCCGGAUUUAUUGGGCGUAAAGGGCACGCAGGCGGUCGUUUAAGUCUGAUGUGAAAGCCUUCGGCUUAACCGGAGUAGUGCAUUGGAAACUGGGAGACGUGAGUGCAGAAGAGGAGAGUGGAACUCCAUGUGUAGCGGUGAAAUGCGUAGAUAUAUGGAAGAACACCAGUGGCGAAAGCGGCUCUCUGGUCUGUAACUGACGCUGAGGUUCGAAAGCGUGGGUAGCAAACAGGAUUAGAUACCCGUGUAGUC